GAUAAUUGAAAUGAGGGGAAAAAAAUGCGGUGGCAUUUUCGCAAUUUUAGUGAACUUUUUAUUUUACUUUGACUCUCUCGUAAAACACAAUUUCCAGAUCUGUUUUUCCUCUAACCUCAGAGUCAUCGUCGAACACUCACUGCCUCUCAUUCCCACCUUCACACUCGCCGUCGUUUACCUUCUUUUACAGAUCGAUUCCCCUAUCAAGGUCAGACCCUCUCAUAUUCGCUCAUCGUCUGUUACGCUCUCACACUCGCCGUCGAACAAACCCAUAACCGUCGUUCAGACCCAUAGUUGUUUUACUUGUUCACAGAACCACCGUCGUCGUUCUCGCCCUCAACAGAAGUAAAAUCGUCGCAGUGGUUGUUAUCAAUCAGUUGUUGAUCCUAUUCGGUGGCCUAAUUCCUCUUGGAGACUUCUUCAGGAUAGGUGAAAUUGAGUGGCAGGCUGAAGUGAGCAAACAGGGUAACAUCACUUAUCCAAAAGCAUGCUUGAGAAUACAAUCUCUUUUUUUGAAAAUGCAAGAGAACACAAUCCUAAAAAGGUCAAGAUGGAGAAACAAGAAGUACAAGAUGGGGGGAAGGAGGAAAAAACACAUACAAUGGGCCUUAGUACCAAUGACAGAAGCAAUUUGAAGAUUUCAUUGGCAGUUAUGGGUACCUUAUCUGCCAAAUACAAAAUAAUGACUCCUAUUUUUGUCUCCAAUUACAAAGUAGUAGCCAUUGUUUCUGUUUGGGGUCCCCGUAAUCGAUAUGAAGAGUUUCAAGAAUAUAUCGGUACAUGAGGAAUGCUAGGGUCACACCCUCUAACACUCCUUUUUAACACACUCCAAUUAAAAUUAGCCACAUCACCUCUCUUUUUUAUUCCUUUUACUUAUUACAGGCUGUUCAAGUUACUAAACUUUAACACAAAAAAAUGGUGCAGUUAUUUUUUCACCUCCUUUCUACUACUGUGACAAUUUUGCAGAGAUAUCGUGAUAGUGAGCCAUCAUCAUUGUUCGUUGAAGGCUAUGCGAGGCAUUCCUUUUGACGAACUGGAUUUUAAGAACUUUGCAUCACCCGAUCUUCUUUCCGUUGCUUACAAUGACUAUCAAUUGUGUCCGUGUCGGAGUCCGGAGUCCAUGCUUCAUAGGUGAGAACUCAAACCAUGACAAUUCUUGACAAGACUUUACAAUGGAUUGAAAUGAAAUCCGUGAAUCCAUGAAUGUGAGUCAAUAACACAACACAAGUAAAAUGAAAUCAACCUACUACUAUAUGUUCACUAUUCUAGUGUAGACUCGGAAACUGAUGAAAUUGGGGGAACAUAGAGAAGGGGACUGUGCCCAAACUGUGUGAAGAUGAUACCGUUGGAGAAAAAGAAAAUGUAGGAAGAAGAGGUGACGACCUCGGGUAUGCAACUAUGACAAAAUUGAAGCGACGACGGGGAGAGGGAGAGACAUGGAUAUGGCACAGUGACAUCAAGAGGUUGCGAGCCAGUGGCAACACCAACGUUAGUGGUGGCAUUGUUGAGGUGUUUCUCGAAAAUAACUCAGCAUUGAUGCCAUUUUCGAAUUGUUACAUCAAUUUUCGUAAGAUCUUGAUCAACAAUUUGCAUAUGUCCUUUGGAGCCUUUCGAAGCAUAGAAAUCUCAAACCUAGGCAAGAUGCCACAAAAACAUAUGUUCAUGUAGUAGAUCGAGUUUGUCACCUUAUGGAGGAUUGACAUGCAGCUAACGCUACUCUUUCGGUAGCCAGUCGAAACAACAUUUCAAUAAAUUCAGUUCGUAAUGAUCGGUCGACAACAAUAAUAUCGAUAAGACAAGACAAUUUAGUUACAACUCGAAUUUCUUCUUCUACAACAACGAGUGAUAUGGCUUCAGACAGGUGGCAGCGUCCACAACGAGGCUGUAUGAAAUGUAAUGUUGAUGCUUCAUUUUCGAAUCACUUGAAUAGAACAUUAUUAUAACAGGUAUCCAUGAUGGCGAAGGUAUCAUUGUGUUGGAUCAAACUAUCCUACUCUCUCAUGUGUAUUCUGUUGUCGUGGGAGAAGCCUUGGGCUUAUUCCGCGCUUGACAAUGGGUAAGUGACAUGAAAUUUGACGACGUCGAUGUCGUCUUUGAUUCAAAGAUUACAAUAGACACCUUCCACCAUCGUCAAGUUGAUGUUAUAGAAUUUGGACAAGUGAUUUCAGCAUGUCGGAGUCUUUUCAACACACACUUCUCAAACUCUAAGGUCGAGUUCAACAGACGACACGCAAAUGUAGAUGGAU